UAAUACGUAGGUGGCAAGCGUUGUCCGGAAUUAUUGGGCGUAAAGCGCGCGCAGGCGGCUUCUUAAGUCUGAUGUGAAAGCCCACGGCUCAACCGUGGAGGGUCAUUGGAAACUGGGAGGCUUGAGUGCAGAAGAGAAGAGCGGAAUUCCACGUGUAGCGGUGAAAUGCGUAGAGAUGUGGAGGAACACCAGUGGCGCAGGCGGCUCUUUGGUCUGUAACUGACGCUGAGGCGCGAAAGCGUGGGGAGCGAACAGGAUUAGAUACCCUGGUAGUCCACGCCGUAAACGAUGAGUGCUAAGUGUUAGGGGGUUUCCGCCCCUUAGUGCUGCAGCAAACGCAUUAAGCACUCCGCCUGGGGAGUACGGCCGCAAGGCUGAA
rnacentral:rRNA from 1 species